AGCACGUUAUGGUGGGCGACUCUAAGGAAGGACUGCCGGUGGACAAACCGGAGGAAGGUGGGGAGUGACGUCAAGUCAUCAUGGCCCUUACGGCCUGGGCUACACACGUGCUACAAUGGUCGGUACAAAGGGUUGCCAAGCCGCGAGGUGGAGCUAAUCCCAUAAAACCGAUCGUAGUCCGGAUCGCAGUCUGCAACUCGACUGCGUGAAGUCGGAAUCGCUAGUAAUCGUGGAUCAGCAUGCCACGGUGAAUACGUUCCCGGGCCUU
rnacentral:rRNA from 1 species